rnacentral:rRNA from 1 species
UACGGAGGGGGCAAGCGUUGUUCGGAAUUACUGGGCGUAAAGGGCUCGUAGGCGGCCAACUAAGUCAGACGUGAAAUCCCUCGGCUUAACCGGGGAACUGCGUCUGAUACUGGAUGGCUUGAGGUUGGGAGAGGGAUGCGGAAUUCCAGGUGUAGCGGUGAAAUGCGUAGAUAUCUGGAGGAACACCGGUGGCGAAGGCGGCAUCCUGGACCAAUUCUGACGCUGAGGAGCGAAAGCGUGGGGAGCAAACAGG